AACGAACGCUGGCGGCAUGCCUAACACAUGCAAGUCGAACGAGACCUUCGGGUCUAGUGGCGCACGGGUGCGUAACGCGUGGGAACCUGCCCUUAGGUUCGGAAUAACUCCCCGAAAGGGGUGCUAAUACCGGAUAAUCUCUUCGGACCAAAGAUUUAUCGCCUGUGGAUGGGCCCGCGUUGGAUUAGCUAGUUGGUAGGGUAAAAGCCUACCAAGGCGACGUUCCAUAGCUGGUCUGAGAGGAUGAUCAGCCACACUGGGACUGAGACACGGCCCAGACUCCUACGGGAGGCAGCAGUGGGGAAUAUUGGACAAUGGGCGAAAGCCUGAUCCAGCAAUGCCGCGUGAGUGAGGAAGGCCUUAGGGUUGUAAAGCUCUUUUACCCGGGAUGAUAAUGACAGUACCGGGAGAAUAAGCACCGGCUAACUCCGUG
rnacentral:rRNA from 1 species